UUUGUGCUUUCUCUCCAAACUCGCCAUGCUGCAAACCAUAAAACAGCAAAACCCUCAUUUAAAUAGGGUGUCUCCAACAGUUUGCACCUGUUGCCAUUUGCGCAGUCACUCUUAGUAAAUCACCCGCAAACCGCGGUUCAGCCCCACACGCAAAAUUCUAGAUUGCGCAGGCAAAUUAGUACAGGCAAAUUGGGAUCUUAGUAGAUCCGGCCCAUUGUGUGAUGGUAGUUUUGUUUUUCCCAUAAACAAGAAUAAAUCAUCUCCCUGCUCUCUGAAACAUUGAUUAAGGUUAUAUCGCCCAAUUAUUAAUGUCAGAGAGGCUAUUUAUAGAUUUUUAAUGGAUAUCUAUUCCAGUCCACAGCCUCCUCACGACUGCUGCUAACUGAUAUACUUUGUAUAGGCCUACAGUGAGAACCUAUGGGCAAUUUAGAGUCGCCAAUUAACCUGCAUGUCUUUGGACUGUGGGAGGUGUAGAGGCAGAUAAUGUAUUAUUCUAUAUCAAAUGUGAAAAUAAUGUCAGUUGCAAAAUGUCUUAGAAACAGUUGAUCAGAUGUCAGUUUCUGCAAUAGGAAGAACUCUGUAUAAGGAGUUGUUUUUGAGUUGGUGAACUUUGGAAAAAUCAAACAAGAGAACACAACAUUUAGGUUAGGGUGACCUGACUGUUGGGACAGUUAGGUCAUACGCCCCAACCUGUCUGCACAUAGACGCACAUACACACACAUGCACACUCAAAUAGUAUAAAGGCAUUUGGAAGUUGGAUAAGCGGGGCUGUUUUUUGCUGUUUCUGCUAUGUUCUUGGGUUGCUGAGAAUAUUCUGCAAGUAAAGUAAUCCUGUUGGCUGUAACUUUUCUCCGUGGUUCUCCGAGUCUCUUCAUUUCAGUGUUUGCUGAAGUUGAGCAAUUUCCUUUCAGAGGAAGCUGGAGUACCUGGAGAAAACUUAUGCUGACAUUGGUAGAACAUGCAAACUCUGCACAGAGGGCCUCCCCCACCCCAGGAACCCUCUUGCUGUGAGGCGACAAUGCUAACCACUGCACCACCGUGCUGAUGUAACGAAGACCUGCCAACCCGCAUUCAGCCAGUUCAUCACAAUUGCUGCUCGCUUUGAGCUGCAGCAACAUCACAACCACCUGUCAGUAGCGUCCACACACUCACAGCGGAGGAAAGUGAGGUGAGGGGUAGCUGAGGGCCGUGAACCCCAGAAAAGCGUCGGGGCCCGAUGGUGUGGCUGGUCGGGGUCUGAAAGACUGUGCAGACCAGCUGGCGAGGGAUUUCACUAAGAUCUUCAAUCAGUCCGUGUCCCACUUCACUGCCCCACUCUGCCUGAGGUCCUCUGUCAUAGUGCCGCUGCCCAAAAACACCAUUAACACUCUCAAUGACUACCUUCCAGUAGCACUCACACCCAUCAGUAUGAAGUGCUUUGAGAAGCUGGUGCGGAGGCACAUCAUUGCCAGUCUACCACCGGCUCUGGACACACACCAGUUUGCCUACAGAGCCAGCAGAUCCACGGAGGACACUAUGGCUACAGCUCUCCAUGCUGCUUUGUCCCACCUGGAGCAGCGGGGGAGCUAUGUGAGGUUGCUCUUCAUGGAUUUCUGUUUGGCCUUCAACACUAUCCUUCCCCACAGACUGGUGUCCAAGCUGACAGAACUGGGUCUCUUACCAUCCAUCUGCUACUGAAUCCUAGAUUUCCUGUCGGGCCACUCGCAGAGGGUUAGAGUGGGCCCCCAUACCUCCGCUGCUCUCAGCCUAAGCACUGGCUCACCAUAGGACUGUGUGCUGAGCCCCAGACUCUACACCCUCUACGCUUACGACUGUGCCCCCACCCACCCCAGCAGUACUUUUAUAAAGUGUGCUGAUGACACUACAGUGGUUGGACUCAUCUCUGGGGGGGAUUAAUCAGCCUACAGGGACAGUGUGGAGUGGCUGUCCAGGUGGUGCGGUGAUAACAACCUGUCUCCUUACACCACCAAGACAAAGGAGGUGAUUGUCGACUACAGGAAAAAUAAAACGGACAUUCAACCACUCUACAUCAAUGGGGACUAUGUUGAGAGGGUCUCGACCUUUUGGUUCCUCAGCAUCCACAUGGAGGAGGACCUGAUCUGGGGCACCAACAUCAUGGAGCUGAUAAAGAAAGCACAGCAGAGACUCUACUUCCUGAGACUCCUCAGAAAGAACCAUCUCUCCCAGAAGCUGCUUGUGGCCUUCUACUACAGCUCCAUUGAAAGCGUGCUCACAUAUGGUGUGGGUGUGGUACGCCAGCGGCACAACAGCAGAGAGGAAGGCGCUUCAGAGGGUCAUCACCACAGCCCAGAAAACCACUGAUUGCCCUCUCCCCACCCUAGAAGAACUUUAUAGUUGCCGCUGUCUCAGCAGAGCCCAAACCACUCUCAGGGACCCAACACACCCAGGACACUCCCUGUUUGAACUGUUGCCCUCAGGCAGGAGAUACAGGACAAUUAAGACCAGAACAAACCAGUUCAAGAACAGUUUUUAUCCCAGGGCAAUAAUCGCACUGAAUGACAAAUUGCACAAAUGAAUGCACAACCUUUUUGUUGCUGCUGCUAAGGGGAUGUGCAAUGGGGAACGUCAAGUGAAUGUGAAAGUCCUAUUAUAGCUCUAUUUUUAUAGUUUUUAAAUUAUUGUUACUGUUUCUUAACAUAGCUUUUUUGUUGUCUUUUAGACUGCAGAGGAUGCACUUUUAAAUUUCGUUGUUAUGAAAAUGACAAUGACAAUAAAGAAUCUAUCACCUAUCUAUCUAUCUAUCUAUCUAUCUAUCUAUCUAACUUCCCUCUCUCUUACCAUUAACUAUUAAUUUUACAUUGAUUAAAAGUAAUUUUACUUUCACAUCCUUGUAUUUAUUAUGUCCAUCUGUACUGUAGGGUUAUAUGGUGGCAGAGGUGUUGAGGGUAGGCCAUUGAUCAAUACCCCAGAAAAUCUGCCUCUUUUUCAGAGCCUAUGUUGGCAGGUAUGUAGAGGUCAGAAGUGUUCUUUGUUUUUGUUGUGUUAGCAAUGGUGAUGUCAGUUUGAUUUGGUUAGGUCAGAGCUAUGGAGUAUUAAAUCAGCCAUAUUUUCUCACUCCAUCUUAGCCUCUCUUACCCUCAGGUGUAUGUAAACAACAAGUUGUACACUUCUUUUUAAAAUACAAAAAUGUGAAAUUAUCAUAUUGCUUAUUGGCUAUGAGAAACAGGUUAUUGGUAUCAGUUGGAAAAAAAAUCCACAUUGGUGCAUCCCUAGCAGCAAUAAAGUGAUCUGUGACUUAAAGAGAAUGUCCAGGGGCAUUAAGUGUUUGGCAAUGGCCCCCUACCUACUUCCUACCCCCCAACUUCCAGCCCCCUUGCUUGUGUCACACCCAUCUUAGAGCUUGACCUUCAUUUUUUCAACUACACACCUGUAAAGUUUUGUCUGACUGCAUCUUGCACAGUUGUGACAUUAUCAUGAUGACACAAACUGUUCACAGACAGACAGACAUAUUCACCUGCCAAAAUACUCAAAACAGCUCCUGUGGUAGUUCCUGCUACAGUAGGUGUCUCCAGGACUAAAUUUCACCAUGAUUACACACACACACACACACACACACACACACACACACACACACAGACUCACAGAGUGGAAAAAAUACCAGCCAACCAUCUCAUUAUCUGUGGUCAUCCACAUUAUGAACACAACAUAUACUGUAAUAUAUAUAAUAAACUACUAAAAAUACUCAACACCAAAGUCAGUCUUUUUUGUAUUAAAAUAUAAUGAAAUGAUUCACUUCAUGACAAUAUACACACAAACAUGCACAAACAAAUAUGCACAAAUACAAAUCAAAUAAUAUUGUUAAAAUUCGGUCAUGUUCAGUUAGCCAUCGUAGUCUGUCUGUUAAUCUUGAGGGUAAAAAGAUUUUCGUCUGGUCAUCAUGGCAGUGUUUGACCUCAUUAAUCUCAGUCGUAUUGCUGCAACUAUUUAACUUAUCAGUAUGAGAUGAUUUUUGACACCCUUAGUUUGAUAUAUUAAUGGUUCAAACUUACUGUUGAGGGAGGAGAUAAGACAGGCUGUUAAAAAGCAAUGACUUAGUCAACAUGCUCUGCUUUGGACUGCUUACACUUUGUACAUGCGCAAGAGCCACUACACAAACUGUGUGGAAUCUGAUGGUAGAAAUGGGCCUUUACUCCUAACUUGGAUUGGUGUCUUCUAUUAAUAUGUAAAACAAUGAAGCAAUAAAGCAAAUAAGUAUGUGUCAUAGAA